UAACUUGAACCUUAUAAACUUUGUAUUUUUUAAGGAAAACUGCUCUACCUUCUUCAAUAUGCAGUCUUAAAGUAUUCAUUCCUUUCACACAUAUGAAAAUAACAUUCAAAGUCUAUAAGCCAAUUCCCUUCCGGUUUCCAAAAUGUCACCACUAGUGCAUCCACACCCUCAUAAUUCUCCUCUAAGACAACUCUACAACUUGCACAAAGUCAUUAUUUCCUUCCAACUUGAGACAAUCCUUAUUGAAGAGACCGGUCUUAAGAAACUUGAAAAACAUAAACUUUUCACCACCCUUGUAUUUUAAUUUUCCCCAAUUUCCUCUACUCCCACCUCUUCCUAUACAUUCAAGGCAUCCACACCACCUUCAACUCUUUAAACUUGGUCGACUCCAUGGUUCUAAGAGCCGAUUAGACUUCAUUGAAGAUGAUUUUACCUUACUUUUCAUAAAGCAUAUUAUCCAUGGAGUGGUCAAAAUAUAAUGCAUAGUAAGAGUAAAUCCUUAUCUUCAUCCUCAAUGUUCCCUUCAAUGUUCACCAAGUCAUCAAUGAUAUUCUCGAAUUUUGUCAAUUGAUCCACAAUUUUUUUUGGCUUCACCAUCCUAAAUGAAUAUAGUUUUUGUCUCAAGAAGUAUCUAUGAGCGAAUUAUUUGGUCAUACAUAAUGACUCUAACUUGGUACACAUGGUUGUUAUGGUUAGGGAAGGCAAUUGGACCCAGGCCUGAUGAGUACCCCAAAAAAAUAUC
rnacentral:lncRNA from 1 species